CUAACCCAAUCUCAACGUGAACAAAUGGCGAAUCGUAUCAUUUUGAACACGGAACUCGUCGAAAAAGCUCUUCUACUCAUCAGAAGUGCCCUCGCCAAUCAAUUUUCAUGGCAAACGAUCGAAGAAAUGCGAAAAACAGCUGCUGGAAAUGGGGAUCCUGUCGCAAAAUCGAUUGAUUCAUUUAAAUUUGAAAAUAAUGAGUUUAUGAUGAGCCUGGCGGAUCCGUAUGAUGAUGAAGCUGAGGUUUUGAAGG
rnacentral:sRNA from 1 species